rnacentral:ncRNA from 10 species
UGCAAAAUAGGAUUUUAUGCGUCAAGUGUUCGGUGAAUGGGGAGUUGUCACUGAAACGAAAAGUGCGUCUUACGGUAUAUUAUCCGCACCCGUUGCA